CUAUGCGCCUUGCCAGCCCGCUCAGUCAGAGUUUGAUCCUGGCUCAGAUUGAACGCUGGCGGCAUGCCUUACACAUGCAAGUCGAACGGUAACAGGUUAAGCUGACGAGUGGCGAACGGGUGAGUAAUGUAUCGGAACGUGCCCAGUCGUGGGGGAUAACUGCUCGAAAGAGCAGCUAAUACCGCAUACGACCUGAGGGUGAAAGCGGGGGAUCGCAAGACCUCGCGCGAUUGGAGCGGCCGAUAUCAGAUUAGGUAGUUGGUGAGGUAAAGGCUCACCAAGCCGACGAUCUGUAGCUGGUCUGAGAGGACGACCAGCCACACUGGGACUGAGACACGGCCCAG
rnacentral:rRNA from 1 species